UACGAAGGGUGCAAGCGUUACUCGGAAUUACUGGGCGUAAAGCGUGCGUAGGCGGUUAGUUCAGUCUGUCGUGAAAGCCCCGGGCUUAACCUGGGAACUGCAUUUGAGACUGUUCAGCUAGAGUUUAGUAGAGGGAAGUGGAAUUCCACAUGUAGCGGUGAAAUGCGUAGAGAUGUGGAGGAACACCAGUGGCGAAGGCGGCUUCCUGGACUAAAACUGACACUGAGGUGCGAAAGCGUGGGGAGCAAACAGG
rnacentral:rRNA from 1 species